CGCUGUCGCGGGAAGCAGCGGAGGCGUUAGGGGCGUGAUCGCGAGGCGCUCGGUGUUUAGCGACGCGGGGCUAUGGAGAAGCGCGGCCGGGGCGGGAAGGUGGCUGCCGGCCCGGCCGAGCUGCCGCCGCCUCGGAAAGAGAGGAGGCCCAGCAUGUUCGACAAGGAGGCACACCCUCACCAGGAAUAGAUUCCAUCUCAAGAAGCCACUUUCUUUGUUCAUCUUUAGGAAGUAAUUCCUCAUCUGUUUAAGUUUUACCGUGACAGGCAGCAAUUCAGCCAUAUCUUCAGGCUCCACUUCUAGUUCUCUUGCUGUUUUCCCCACAUCGGGAGUGACUUCCUCCACUGAAGUCUUGAACCCCUCAAGGUCAUCCAUAAGGGUUGGAAUCAACUUCUUCCAAACAGUUAAUGUUGAUGUUACAAGCUCUUCCCAUGAGUCAUGGAUGUUCUUAAUGAUAUCUAGAAUGGUGAAUUCUUUCCAGAAGGUUGCAGUUUACCCAGGCCCAUCAGAGGAAUCACUAUAUAUGGCAGCUAUAGCAAUAUGAAAUGUAUUUCUUAAAGAAAAACUUAGAAGUAAAAAUUCAUAGUCAUAAAAACCAACAUCAAGAAACAAGAAAAAUCUCAAACAACUUUACAUCAAGAAAACAACAAACGAGGUAGCUAACUUCAGUGGUGAAAUGCUGAAUGUCAAAAGCAUGGAAUAAUUAUGCACAAGUUUUAAGAGAAAGACUGAGAGAAUCAUUUCAUGGUGUUCAGUAUGUGGAACCCCCGUUUCAUGACUCAAUCAGUGACAGAGGUAAAGCAUGGAAGAGGACCCUGGCAAGAGUGAAGUUCGCCAGUUUGUACAGAAUGGAGCCGUUGAAAAAGUUCCAAGCUCAUUCAGUGGAAACUAAAGUCCAGCAGAUACUAAGUGUAUGUUGAUAGAUACGCAUGACACCAACAUCUUAGCUUUGGGGGUUUGAUAAUCUCAAGAUUUAUGGCAGUAUAAUUUUCCUGAUGGAUUUUUUUGUAGCAUUUAUCUCUGAAACAUGAAAGUGGCUUGUAGUCAUACUCAGUAAUCUUCACAUUGAUACUAUGAGCUGGAUUAAAGGGAAUAUUCUUUUGUUAUUUCAUUCAACUCAAUCAUCCAUAAAUUAGCCCUCAGGUUCCAUAUUUCUCCUAUAUAUUGGAAGAAUGAGUUUAAAAAAGAACAUACUAUGUAUUCAUGUGUGAAAAAUUGGUUCCUGACUACUUCAAAACAUCUUAAAGACCCACUUGUGCACAAACUGUCUUCAUCUUCAAGCUGACUGGAAUCUAAAAUUCACUUAAGACAGUUGUGCGAACCAGUCUAGUCCAGAAAAGCUGCUUCAAUUUUACAAAACUAAUAUUAAUACCAAUAUUAUUUAUACUACUUUUGGCAUCUGAGGGCUACAUUGCUCAGAAAGAAAUAAUUCCCUUCACCAUCUUCCCCAAUAAAGGGUCAAACUGAAACUUCUUUAAUUGUAGGAGUUUGAGGCACCACCUUUUCUGAAUCCCCUUUCCAUCUUUGCUUUCUAGUCUGAGCACCAGACACCCAGGAGAUUUCUGAUGAUCAGAUUCCUUUUGUGGGACCCCAUACAGCCUAAUCCCACUCCAGGAGUGUUUUAAAUUUAAUUUAAAACUAAUCCCCCCUCCACUUUAUGAGGUUCCUUCAGUAACAACUAAUGGGAGACAGCUACUAUGAAAAAAGCAUACGUGUAAUUUAUUUUGUGUGAAUGAUUAAUAAUCCUUUAAUCAUAACAAAUUGAAUUACUUAAAUGAUUUAACCUUUAUUAGUAUAGAAGAAUAGUUAAGAGACCCCUCUCGAGCCUCCCUCCACUGCAGUAGAGACAUAUUUCCAAACUGAACUGAUUGUCAGAUGAUACUUGUUAAAGAUACUAUGGCUCAUGGCUUCAGGAAAUAAAGACAUCCAGCUCAAUUUAAUACAGUAAAAUAAUUACCGAUUACCUUCUACUCUGACCUAAACACUAAUAGCAAGCACUUGUAAGAGUAUACAUUUUGGUGCAUUUCUUAUUCAGCCCUAGCACAUAUGCCAAGUUCAAAUGUAUUGCAUAUAGAAGGAUUUCAGAUUGUAUUUACAUAUGACAACAUAUAGAAUUGUGUUGAGCAUAACGGGCCAGUAAAGCUUACUGGGUAUGUAGGUAGACGCUAUGGAUCAUAAUAAGGCCAGAGAUUUUCACUAGGUUCUGGGACCAUUGAACAUAGUUAGAAAAACAGAAAUAAUAUAUACUGAAGGAGCUUGGGGAUAUCAUCCUAUAGCAAGUGCUCAUUAUUUAAUAAAAAAGAGUGCUUAAGUAGAUAAAGCCUGGGAUCUGUUAGGAAAUUCAGAAGAGAAAAUGGAUGUUGCUAAGUGUCUGAAAAAUAGAACCACAGACAAUGUCUGAAGGAAAUAAAUACCUCUAGAACCAGUUUUGAUCCAGAAGCAUUCUAGAAGGGAACAAAAACUUAAAAAAAAGGCAAUUUCUUUGGUUUUACAUGCCUGUAAAAUUAGCUGGUAGGAAUCCAUCUGUUAUCAUUAGAACUCAGAACAUAGGUUAAUUUAUCAUGGGUUCAAGUCAGUCAAAGGCAUGGCUGUCUGCUCAUCGGAUGGUCUAGGUCUGCUCCGUGGUCCCCAUCUGUCUCCCCCUAGUCAUGCACUAAUUCAUGAAUAAACGUAUGAGAGACCUUUGAUUUCCUUUGCAUUCUCCUGGAAGCCACAGGAAAAAAGUUGAGUGAGAAGCCAUAGGGAGAGGGUCAGAAAAAGGGGGCUUUAAUUUGAGGAGCCUGAGGAAGAUGGUAAUAAUAUGAUGCAGGCUCUGGGUCCAAGUAACCCUUGCUCUGGUAAGCCCAAAUCUGAAUUUUAGCAAAUAUGUAAAUUCUUAAAAGAUUUCUUUUCUCUACCUAAUAAUUCCCAGAAGCUUUCUUUUAAAAUUCCCCCGUGUUUCCCUAAUAACUAUCUGAUAAUUUAGUAAAGGGCAACUUACAGCUUAAGAGUUGGGAAUGAAGAAAAAUUGAACAUGAUUUAAGAAACAAAAUAAAUGUUCUUCAAAAAUUGUUAUUGAAAUAAACCAAGUACAACAUUCAUUUGAAAUGACAUGGUUGGGAAUAGGUGUAUUUUUUGAAGUUGUAUGUAUUAUUUAGACACAUUUUCUACUUGAAUUUUUAUUUAGAAAAUAUUUGGUUUGAAAAUUAAAAUAUUCUCUUAAUUUUUUUAAAGGAAAGUCUUAAAGAUGUCAAAUAUGAUGAUAAAGUCUUCUCUCAUUUAUCGCUUGAAUUAGCAGACCGCAUAUUGUUAGCAGUCAAAGAAUUUGGGUACCACCGGUAUAAGUUCAUUAUAAAAGUACUAUUUAUUCAAAA